GACGAACGCUGGCGGCGUGCCUAAUACAUGCAAGUAGAACGCUGAAGAGAGGAGCUUGCUCUUCUUGGAUGAGUUGCGAACGGGUGAGUAACGCGUAGGUAACCUGCCUUGUAGCGGGGGAUAACUAUUGGAAACGAUAGCUAAUACCGCAUAACAAUGGAUGACCCAUGUCAUUUAUUUGAAAGGGGCAAAUGCUCCACUACAAGAUGGACCUGCGUUGUAUUAGCUAGUAGGUGAGGUAACGGCUCACCUAGGCGACGAUACAUAGCCGACCUGAGAGGGUGAUCGGCCAGACUGGGAGUGAGACACGGCCCAGACUGCUACGGGAGGCAGCAGUAGGGAAUCUUCGGCAAUGGGGGGAAACCUGACCGAGCAACGCCGCGUGAGUGAAGAAGGUUGUCGGAUCGUAAAGCUCUGUUGUAAGUCAAGAACGAGUGUGAGAGUGGAAAGUUCACACUGUGACGGUAGCUUAACAGAAAGGGACGGCUAACUACGUG
rnacentral:rRNA from 1 species